CCUACGGGUGACAGCAGUGAGGAAUAUUGGUCAAUGGCCGGGAGGCUGAACCAGCCAAGUCGCGUGAGGGAGGACGGCCCUACGGGUUGUAAACCUCUUUUGUCAGGGAGCCAGGUGCAGGUCGGGCCCUGCUGUGAGAGUACCUGAAGAAAAAGCAUCGGCUAACUCCGUGCCAGCAGCCGCGGUAAUACGGAGGAUGCGAGCGUUAUCCGGAGUUAUUGGGGUUAAGGGGUGCGCAGGCGGGGGCACAAGUCAGCGGUAAAAUCGCGGGGCGCAACCCCGCUCCGCCGUUGAAACUGGGAGGCUUGAGGAUGUUUGAGGCAGGCGGAAUGCGUGGUGUAGCGGUGAAAUGCUUAGAUAUCACGCAGAACCCCGAUGGCGAAGGCAGCCUGCCAAGCCAUGACUGACGCUGAUGCACGAAAGCGUGGGGAUCAAACAGGAUUAGAUACCCCUGUAGUC
rnacentral:rRNA from 1 species